rnacentral:tRNA from 1 species
UUUUUUAUAGUUGAAUACAACAUUGGCUUUUCAGGUCAAGGGUCUCGGUUAAAACCCGGGUAAAAAU